rnacentral:rRNA from 1 species
AACGAACGCUGGCGGCGUGGAUAAGACAUGCAAGUCGAACGGGACUAAAUCUGUAGCAAUACAGGUUUAGUUUAGUGGCGAACGGGUGCGUAACACGUGGGCAAUCUGCCGAGAAGUGGGGGAUAGCUCGCCGAAAGGCGAAUUAAUACCGCAUAUGAUCAGGGACGACAUCUUCCCAACAUCAAAGCCGGGGCAACCCGGCGCUUCUUGAUGAGCCCGCGGCCUAUCAGCUAGUUGGUGAGGUAACGGCUCACCAAGGCUAUGACGGGUAGCUGGUCUGAGGAGGACGACCAGUCACACUGGAACUGAGACACGGUCCAGACACCUACGGGUGGCAGCAGUCGAGUAAUUUUUCUUCAAGUGGGGCAACCCUGAAGGAGCGACGCCG